rnacentral:tRNA from 1 species
GAUUCGCUAGCUCAGCAGGUAGAGCACAACACUUUUAAUGUUGGGGUAUCCUGGGUUCGAGCCCCAGGCGGAUCA